CACAAAAUUUGGUUACAAUGGGCUAUUACAUUUAAUAUCCGUACCCCCCCUGUCGAGAACCUCAUUUUCCAAGGGGGAAAUAAGUCAUUUUUUCCAGAGGGGUAAUUGGGAAAAAUGGAAGAAAAAUGCUCUUUCCAGAGGGGUUAAAAAGCAAAAAAGCACUUCCAGAGGGGGUUCAAGUCUCUUCCAGAGGGGUCAAUUACACAGAUUUUUUUGCAUUCCAGAGGGGUAAAAAUCCCCAAAAGCAGAGGUCCUCGACAGGGGGGGUUUGGUUUUUUAAUGUAAUAGCCCAAUUCAAUAAUUUGAAAGUGCUGUUGCAUCCCUAACCUACUAAACUGCUUGCAAAUAUUAAAACAUAUAAGGAAGCUAUACAAAUGAUAUACAAAUACAAUGCUCUGAUAUACAAAUCUUCUGAAAACUUUAAUAUUAUCAAGGUUUAUAACAGACUUAUUAUUAGAAUUGAGACUCUCUUCAGGUAUUUUAAUAUUACAGUAGCAAUUAAGUGAAUUAACACACAGUACAUAAUUUGUAAUUGUUUUUGUUCUUGAAAAUUGCCCUUUCCACGCGCUCUUUCAACCAUUAGAAACAUAAUAGCGUUAAACGGCUAAAUUAUGCUGGAGAAACCACAAAUGUCUCUACAUUUAAAGCUUUUACAAACUGACACAGAGGCCAGAAUGGACAAGAUUACAAUUAAUUGUGACAUUUUUCUUCGACAACAGCACUCUUCGCGGCUCCUGCCGGCUCUAUACUGACCCUGUUUCACACGCAAUAUUUUCCUUAUUCAGUCGCUAACACACCUUUUGUAUCCCACUAUGAAGAACAUCAACAUUUCCACCAAAACCCCGAAAAAAUCAUCAUUUUAUAGACGAAACAAUAAAAUAUUUCAAACAAUUUGUUUUGCUUUUGGCAACGCAUGCGCAGUUCGGUCGACA